GAACGCUGGCGGCGUGCUUAACACAUGCAAGUCGAACGAAGCACUUUAUUACAAUUUCUUCGGAAUGACGAUUUAGUGACUGAGUGGCGGACGGGUGAGUAACGCGUGGGUAACCUGCCUUAUACAGGGGGAUAACAGUUAGAAAUGACUGCUAAUACCGCAUAAGCGCACAGUACCGCAUGGUACAGUGUGAAAAACUCCGGUGGUAUAAGAUGGACCCGCGUCUGAUUAGCUAGUUGGCAGGGUAACGGCCUACCAAGGCGACGAUCAGUAGCCGACCUGAGAGGGUGACCGGCCACAUUGGGACUGAGACACGGCCCAGACUCCUACGGGAGGCAGCAGUGGGGAAUAUUGCACAAUGGAGGAAACUCUGAUGCAGCGACGCCGCGUGAGUGAAGAAGUAUUUCGGUAUGUAAAGCUCUAUCAGCAGGGAAGAUAAUGACGGUACCUGACUAAGAAGCACCGGCUAAAUACGUG
rnacentral:rRNA from 1 species